ACGUAGGGGGCGAGCGUUGUCCGGAAUCACUGGGCGUAAAGCGCACGUAGGCGGGCUGUCAAGUCGGCCGUGAAAGGCAUGGGCUCAACCUGUGCAUGUCGGUCGAUACUGGCGGGCUGGAGUCUGGGAGAGGGAACUGGAAUUCCCGGUGUAGCGGUGAAAUGCGUAGAUCCCUGGAGGAACACCAGUGGCGAAGGCGGGUUCCUGGCCCGUGACUGACGGUGAGGUGCGAAAGCUGGGGGAGCAAACGG
rnacentral:rRNA from 1 species